ACUUUAGCGCCACGCCACGUACUGAAAUCGAAGAUGCGUCUUAAAAAUGUAUACGAACGAUAGCUACAUAACCUAAAAGAAAGGAAUACUCUAUCCCAUAAUUCCGGGCGGUUUCUCACGUAAUGAAUUACAAGUUCAUUCACGUCAUCACAAUUAUAUUCCAUAGUGGCAUGUUUUGUUGAUGUUAUUGAUGGUUUGUUUUCAUAGACAGUUUUGUACGACAUAACCUACGUCACGUCGACUAUUAUUUGAGCCAUAUUUGAGCCUUGCCAGAUUCCGAAUGGUCCCGAAGAUUCUCGACUUUAGCCGAAUGACGUGCGGUACUGCGGAAAAAUUAAAAUAUUUUGAUCCCAACGCAGUGCGGUGCGGCAUGCCGGAGGUUGCCGCUGCCGGACUUGCGCCGGGCUCCUGAUCGGUCACCGCAGCAUUUGCCGGAGCUCAACGCAUACAUGGAGUCUUAGCUUAAGGCAAAUGAUUACGAUAUGUUUCAGACUGCCGUUGACGAGACGAAUUUGGAGAGUCGCUAACAUUCACCUCUUCUUCCUCGACCUCCAAGCUGUUCAAUUUAUGCACAAUGGGAUAAAUUAGUGCAAAGUGAAACAUUGGAUUCAUAAAGCUCACCCUUCUUGCUCGAGGCUAUGAAGCAUUUGAAAUCCAGCGUCAAGACUGGGGGGAAAACCUAAGUCAGGAUCCAGCAGCUGCAAAGUCGGCACUUCUCUGCAUACUUUCCCGAAUGCGUCAAGUUCGUCAAAACUUACACCACCAAAGCCGUCGUUUUGUUCCAUCCUGCGGUAUAUAGCAAUUCCCAUUAGAUUCACUGUGAUUUUAAUUUGAUCUUUAAAUUUUACUGAUGAGACAGUCAUCGUAGUUGACUAAAAACGUAUCUAUUGUAGGAAGACUUAGCAGAUAAACCAAGUAGACAGAUCAGAUCAAGUUAGCAUUCGCGAAAUUUCAGAUAAAGAUGAUUGUAUUUUGACCUGCUACUCCCAGCGUCGAGUUCCAUUUCCCUUCGCUCUACUUCCGCUCGUUCCACGGUCUGUUUCAUAUUCAUUUCAAACCUCAGUACAUUUUCCUGAUAAUAAUCAUGCAGAGAUUGAGCUCCACCGAUGCCUGUUUCAUACAGGACACGUUCAACAGCAUCCUGAGAUGUGGAAAUUAGUGAAAUUGCAUCAAAAAUAGAAAUAAUUUAAUAAAUAAAUCAAGAUUCCGCUCACGCACAGGGAACCCGCAUUUAUCCUGCUCCGCUGCGAGUUUGAGUAGCCUUGUCAUACGUUUGAGGAAUUGAUCCGCGAUAUCUGUUACUGCUUCGAUGGCAAUAUCGGAAGAAUCUAAAAUAGAUUAACAAUUUUGGUAGUUAGCUCAUCAAUUUAAAUUAAGAUCAUGCACAGCCAGCAGAAAAUAUAAAUUUACGAACUUUCGAAACCAGUAUGAGCCAACAACACGAUAACAGAAUGCCUCAGCAAGCCGUGUGCUGUUUCUGGUGUUAGGUAUGUUGGGUGAGCUGGAGGUUCGUCAGGUAUUUUUGCACUAUAACGAAUGUUUCAUUUUUUAAAUACAUUUCUGUUUCCGCGGUUCAUUUUCUAUGUAAUUACACGGAGUGCUUACUCUUUUGAGUCUGUCUCCGUCUCCGCAUGCGGAAAUGAAAAAUGAAAUGGAUUCAUCUGUUCUCGAACUUCCAGCAGUGGCAGUCCAUCGAUUUCCGUCGCAGGGCCGGGAGAACCUCCAUUCUCCUGCGAAAGCUGAAUGUUAAUACAUAAAUACGAUUUAAUUGCAUUUUGUACCAAUAAUGAUCCUUACAAGAUCUCGCAACCGCUGGUGAAGGUUGAUGGUGUUUAAUACAUGCGGAUUAAUGUUAGGUAAUCUGAAAAAAUGUAAAGAAGAAUCAAUUACAUAUGAUA
rnacentral:lncRNA from 1 species